GAGAGAGUUUGACUAUUUUAAAUUUUCUCUAAUUUAAGUUUGGAACUAGAGAAGGUGGACUUGAAUACGAAUAGGGGAUCAAAUACAAAUAUGAUUUAUGAUGAAAUACUAAUCCAUUUAGCUGACUGCACGGUAUGUUAUUGUUACUGGAAUUAGA